GCCGCUUUCCGACUCCGCCUUGGUCCCUCCAGCCGCUCACUGCUACUUCCAGAGACUGCAGCUUCCACAGCCAUCACUGAACCAUUGACUAAAGGCCUUGACGUUGGUGCACAUGACGUUUUCCCAGAAGACCUCCCUAAUGAACAAAUCCAGUCCUUUGUAAUCCAGUGACUAAAGGCCUUGACGUUGGUGCACAUGACGUUUUCCCAGAAGACCUCCCUAAUGAACAAAUCCAGUCCUUUGUAAUCCAG